rnacentral:misc_RNA from 1 species
CCUUUCUAUCAGGGGUGUUGGCCCGGAGAACAGGGCUUUUGCCUCGUUCUUUGGCCUCUCCCUUCUGAUUCUACCCAUGUCUUUUACGCACUAUCUGUUUCCUCGGUGGGCUUGCCUGCCGAUUGGACAACCUAAAACCAUUUGUACUUGCAGUCAGCGUCAGUCAUAAAAUUAAUAUU